UACCAGCCAUGCCGCGUGUGUGAAGAAGGCCUUUUGGUUGUAAAGCACUUUAAGCGAGGAGGAGGCUACUCUAGUUAAUACCUAGGGAUAGUGGACGUUACUCGCAGAAUAAGCACCGGCUAACUCUGUGCCAGCAGCCGCGGUAAUACAGAGGGUGCAAGCGUUAAUCGGAUUUACUGGGCGUAAAGCGCGCGUAGGUGGCCAAUUAAGUCAAAUGUGAAAUCCCCGAGCUUAACUUGGGAAUUGCAUUCGAUACUGGUUGGCUAGAGUAUGGGAGAGGAUGGUAGAAUUCCAGGUGUAGCGGUGAAAUGCGUAGAGAUCUGGAGGAAUACCGAUGGCGAAGGCAGCCAUCUGGCCUAAUACUGACACUGAGGUGCGAAAGCAUGGGGAGCAAACAGGAUUAGAUACCCUGGUAGUCCAUGCCGUAAACGAUGUCUACUAGCCGUUGGGGCCUUUGAGGCUUUAGUGGCGCAGCUAACGCGAUAAGUAGACCGCCUGGGGAGUACGGUCGCAAGACUAAAACUCAAAUGAAUUGACGGGGGCCCGCACAAGCGGUGGAGCAUGUGGU
rnacentral:rRNA from 1 species